rnacentral:lncRNA from 1 species
GUCAGGCAGCUAGUCGAAAAGCUGUCGAUAAGAGCAAGGCACCGAUGUCCCCACUUUCAUUGUGGAUUACGAUCUGGAUACAUCUUUUGAGGAGGCAACUAUCACAAUCAGGAUGUGCUUCAGGAUGACCGAUUAGGCCCUCAAAGACCACCAACUCAUCGAGGAGUUGGCGAAGAUGGUGAUGCUUCUCACAGCUUGGGA